GUAGCCUAGUGGUUAGAGUGUAGAGGAGGCAGGUAGCCUAGUGGUUAGAGUGUAGAGGAGGCAGGUAGACUAGUGGUUAGAGUGUAGAGGAGGCAGGUAGACUAGUGGUUAGAGUGUAGAGGAGGCAGGUAGCCUAGUGGUUAGAGUGUAGAGGAGGCAGGUAGUCUAGUGGUUAGAGUGUAGAGGAGGCAGGUAGCCUAGUGGUUAGAGUGUAGAGGAGGCAGGUAGACUAGUGGUUAGAGUGUAGAGGAGGCAGGUAGACUAGUGGUUAGAGUGUAGAGGAGGCAGGUAGACUAGUGGUUAGAGUGUAGAGGAGGCAGGUAGACUAGUGGUUAGAGUGUAGAGGAGGCAGGUAGCCUAGUGGUUAGAGUGUAGAGGAGGCAGGUAGUCUAGUGGUUAGAGUGUAGAGGAGGCAGGUAGCCUAGUGGUUAGAGUGUAGAGGAGGCAGGUAGUCUAGUGGUUAGAGUGUAGAGGAGGCAGGUAGUCUAGUGGUUAGAGUGUA